AUUGAACGCUGGCGGAAUGCUUUACACAUGCAAGUCGAACGGCAGCACGGACUUCGGUCUGGUGGCGAGUGGCGAACGGGUGAGUAAUGUAUCGGAACGUGCCCAGUCGUGGGGGAUAACGUAGUGAAAAUUACGCUAAUACCGCAUACGAUCUAUGGAUGAAAGCGGGGGAUCGCAAGACCUCGCGCGACUGGAGCGGCCGAUAUAAGAUUAGGUAGUUGGUGGGGGAAAGGCCCACCAAGCCAACGAUCUGGAGCUGGUCUGAGAGGACGACCAGCCACACUGGAACUGAGACACGGUCCAGACUCCUACGGGAGGCAGCAGUGGGGAAUCUUGAACAAUGGGCGAAAGCCUGAUCCAGCCAUUCCGCGUGCAGGAUGAAGGCCCUCGGGUUGUAAACUGUUUUUGUACAGAACGAAAAGGUUUCUACUAAUACUAGGAGCUCAUGACGGUACUGUAAGAAUAAGCACCGGCUAACUACGUGCCAGCCGCCGCGGUAA
rnacentral:rRNA from 1 species